rnacentral:rRNA from 1 species
UUUCGAAUCAUUCACAAUGGGCGAAAGCCUGAUGGUGCGACGCCGCGUGAGGGAUGAAGGUCUUCGGAUUGUAAACCUCUGCCACCGGGGAAGAAACGCUUCAAGUUAACAGCUUGAAGCCUGACUUAACCCGGAGAGGAAGCAGUGGCUACCCCUGUGCCAGCAGCCGCGGUAAUCCAGAGACUGCAAGCGUUAUUCGGAUUCACUGGGCGUAAAGGGUGCGCAGGCGGUUGGGUGUGUCAGAUGUGAAAUCCCGAGGCUUAACCGCGGAACUGCGUCUGAAACUACUCGACUAGAGUACUGGAGAGGGUAACGGAAUUCACGGUGUAGCAGUGAAAUGCGUAGAUAUCGUGAGGAACACCAGAGGCGAAGGCGGUUACCUGGACAGUUACUGACGCUCAGGCACGAAAGCAUGGGGAGCAAA